UUGAAAGGUGCCAGACUGAAAGUCCUCUAUCUGUCCACAGAACAGAUACAGCACGGGCAGCUGCAAUGCAAAUUCCACAUUGUGUUGGGGUAUAUUAACUACACUCUGGCUAUGACAGGGUUAAGGGGAGCCAAAGAGCUGAAUUAGCCCAUUAUACGGCAUCU
ensembl:misc_RNA